rnacentral:rRNA from 1 species
AACGAACGCUGGCGGCAUGCCUAACACAUGCAAGUCGAACGAGACCUUCGGGUCUAGUGGCGCACGGGUGCGUAACGCGUGGGAACCUGCCCUUAGGUUCGGAAUAACUCCCCGAAAGGGGUGCUAAUACCGGAUAAUGUCUUCGGACCAAAGAUUUAUCGCCUUUGGAUGGGCCCGCGUUGGAUUAGCUAGUUGGUAGGGUAAAAGCCUACCAAGGCGACGAUCCAUAGCUGGUCUGAGAGGAUGAUCAGCCACACUGGGACUGAGACACGGCCCAGACCCCUACGGGAGGGAGCAGGGGGGGAUAUUGGGGCAUGGGCGAAAGCCUGAUCCAGCCAUGCCGCGUGAGUGGUGAAGGCCUUAGGGUUGUAAAGCUCUUUUACCCGGGAUGAUAAUGACAGUACCGGGAGAAUAAGCUCCGGCUAACUCCGUG